GGAUGUGAGGGUGAUCUGGCUGAGACAUCUGUCACCCCAUUGAUCCCCAGGGUUGAUUCGGCUGAUCUGGCUGGCUAGGGUGAGUGUCCCCUUCCUCCCCCACCGCUCCACGUGCAUCCCUCCCAAAGCUGGGCGCGAGGUCAAAGAAUAGAGACAGACUGGUCUUCAGUCGAGGGUAUGCGAGUAGCUGUGCUUCCCUGCUAGAACCUCCAAACAAGCUCUCAGGAACAUCAUUCUGGCAUAUGCAGUACCAAAGAUUGAACUAAGGACUUUUAUGCCUGAGUUUUCAGCAGUUUAU
rnacentral:snRNA from 1 species